rnacentral:tRNA from 1 species
UGCCGUGUGGUGCAAUUGGUAGCACACCUGACUCUGGAUCAGGGUGUUCUUGGUUCGAGUCCAAGCGCGGCAGCCA